UACGGGGGGGGGUAAGCGUUGUUCGGAAUUACUGGGCGUAAAGGGCUCGUAGGCGGCCAACUAAGUCAUACGUGAAAUCCCUCAGCUUAACUGGGGAACUGCGUGUGAUACUGGAUGGCUUGGAUUUGGGAGAGGGAUGCGGAAUUCCGGGUGUAGCGGUGGAAUGCGUAGAGAUCCGGAAGAACACCAGUGGCGAAGGCGGCUCACUGGCCCGGUACUGACGCUGAGGUGCGAAAGCGUGGGGAGCAAACAGG
rnacentral:rRNA from 1 species